rnacentral:rRNA from 1 species
UACAGAGGGUGCAAGCGUUGUUCGGAAUUAUUGGGCGUAAAGCGCGUGUAGGCGGCCUGGCAAGUCGGGUGUGAAAGCCCUCAGCUCAACUGAGGAAGUGCGCCCGAAACUGCUAUGGCUUGAGUGCCGGAGAGGGUGGCGGAAUUCCCCAAGUAGAGGUGAAAUUCGUAGAUAUGGGGAGGAACACCGGUGGCGAAGGCGGCCACCUGGACGGUGACUGACGCUGAGACGCGAAAGCGUGGGGAGCAAACAGG